rnacentral:rRNA from 1 species
AACGAACGCUGGCGGCAUGCCUAACACAUGCAAGUCGAACGAGACCUUCGGGGCUAGUGGCGCACGGGUGCGUAACGCGUGGGAACCUGCCCUUAGGUUCGGAAUCACUCCCCGAAAGGGGUGCUAAUACCGGAUAAUCUCUUCGGACCAAAGAUUUAUCGCCUUUGGAUGGGCCCGCGUUAGAUUAGCUAGUUGGUAGGGUAAAAGCCUAACAAGGCGACGAUCCAUAGCUGGUCUGAGAGGAUGAUCAGCCACACUGGGACUGAGACACGGCCCAGACUCCUACGGGAGGCAGCAGUGGGGAAUAUUGGACACUGGGCGAAAGACUGAUCCAGCAAUGCCGCGUGAGUGAUGAAGGCCUUAGGGUUGUAAAGCUCUUUUACCCGGGAUGAUAAUGACAGUACCGGGAGAAUAAGCCCCGGCUAACUCCGUG